GAAAAAAAAAAAAAAAAAAAAAAAAAAAAAAAAGGAAAGAAAGGUGUUUAUCGCAAAGCGCCGAGCAAGGAGCUGGGCAGCUGUCACUUAAUCCCCGGGCUCCUUGAAGAGUCAGGGUGAAGUUUCUUAUACGUUGCAAUCGGGCUGGGAGGUCUGUGUUCAGCUGGUGUCUGAGUUCCUGGUUGGCCAGUGAUGCUUGUGACCUUCCUUUGACUGUUUGGUGACUGUUACAGUGGCCAACUGGGCUCAGCAAGUCUAGGAGGUUCCAUGGAAGUGGUAGUUACCUUCUGCACCAGACCUGGACUUGCCUUGCCUGAACCUAGAAAUCUACUGAACAACCCAUUCUGGACAGCACUGGAGAAGCAGAUGACUUCUUGACUCUGGUGAUUAGAACCUUGUUGGGGGGGGAGGGGGAUGGCGCAUAGUGGGUUAAGCCGCUGCCUGCAGUGCCGGCAUCCCAUAUGGGUGUUUGUUCGAGACCUGGCUGCUCCACUUCCAAUACAGCUCUCUGCUAUGGCCUGGGAAAGCAGUGGAAGAUGGCCCAAGUCCUUGGGCCCCUGCACCCACGUGGGAGACCCAGAGGAGGCUCCUGGCUCCUGGCUCCCAGCUGCGGUUGUUUGGCCAUUUGAGGAGUGAACCAGCAGAUGGAAGACCUCUCUCUCUCUCUCUCCCUCUGCUCUCUGUAACUCUGCUUUUCAAAUAAAUAAAUCUUAAAAAAAAAAAAAAAAAAAAAAAAAAAAAAAGAAUCUUGUUGGGCCAGCUACAUCACCCCCUCAAUUCUGUGAAUUCUUUUUGAUAAAGGACAGAUAAGGAGACAGAGGAGACACUGGGUCCUGCCUUUAAAUGAUAGGAGUUCAGUCUUCACUUGACUAGGGUCAGGGUUUAGGGGAGGACUCCACAGCAGGGAAAUGCCUUUCUCAUCACAUCAUAUCCCCCUUGUGGCUCAUCACUGGUCAUGCUAACUUUGAUCACGUGUUAACUGAUAUUUCCAGGCUUCUCCACUAUAAAGUUACUAUGUUUCCCCUUUUCAUACUCCAGCCAUUGGAAGUCGUAUCUAAAUCAUAAACCAUUUAAUUUGCAUUUCCCUGAUUAUUAAGAAGCCAAACACCUUUUCGUGAUAUGGGCCAUCCUGAGGGUGUUCCUCAUGGGAGAAUGACCUGUUCAUGUUUCUUGCCUAUAUUUCAAUUUGCUUGCUGGUCUUUAGUUCUUACUCAGUUCUAGAUAUUAUUUAUAUAUUAAUUGCAAUCCUCCCAAUGAAUCAUUUAGUAUUUUAAUUUUUUUAUAUCUUCGGCUAUGUACAAAUUUUUUAUUUCAGUUUACUCAUCGUUGCAUACUGUUUAUGCUUUUUUUUUUUUUUUUUUUUUUUUUGACAGGCAGAGUGGACAGUGAGAGAGAGAGAGACAGAGACAAAGGUCUUCCUUUGCUGUUGGUUCACCCUCCAAUGGCCGCUGCGGCCGGCGCACCACGCUGAUCCAAAGCUGGGAGCCAGGUGCUUCCUCCUGGUCUCCCAUGCGGGUGCAGGGCCCAAGCACUUGGGCCAUCCUCCACUGCAUUCCUGGGCCACAGCAGAGAGCUGGCCUGGCAGAGGGGCAACCGGGACAGAAUCCGGCACCCCGACCAGGACUAGAAUCCAGGGUGCCAGCGCCGCAGGUGGAGGAUUAGCCUAGUGAGCCGCGGCGCCAGCCUUUUAUGCUUUUUUAAAAAUUUUGUUUGGAACAUCCACAUUCCAUACCACAGUCCCUGGGUUUGCCUCUGACUCAGCUUUGUAUUAAUGUGACCCUGGGAGGUAGCAGGCGUAGCUCCAGCAGCUGGGUUCUUGCUAUUCGCAUGUUAGACCUAGACUGAGAUCUGGACUCCCAGCUUCUGCCUGGCCCAGCCCUGGCUGUUGUGAGCAUUUGGGGAGUGACCAGUGGAUAGAAGAUAUUCUUUCUCUCUCUCCGCCUUUCAAAUGAGUGAAAGUAAAUAACUUUGUUAAAAGGGGAGUCAGGCAUUUGGUAUAGUACUUAACAUCACUUGGGAUGCCCAAAUCCAUAUCAGAAUGCCUGAGUCUGAGUCCUGGCUCUGCUCCCAAUUCCAGUUUCCUAGUUUCCUGCUGAUGUGAACCCGAAGAGGCAGCAGAUGAUGGCGCAGUGACUUGGGUCCCUGCCACACACGUCGGAGACCUGAACUGAGUCCUGGCUCCAGUUUCAUCUCGGUCUGCCCGAGUGCUGCAGACAUUUGGGGAGUGAACCAGUGAGUGCAGGAUCUCUGUCUCCAUCUCUCUCUUUGUCUCUCUGCCUUUCAAAUAAAUAAAAUAGAAUUUUAAAUUAUUUCUUUCUUUAUUUUUUUUUUUUGACAGGCAGAGUGGACAGUGAGAGAGAGAGACAGAGACAAAGGUCUUCCUUUGCCGUUGGUUCACCCUCCAAUGGCCGCCGUGGCGGGCAUGCUGCAGCCGGCGCACCGCGCUGAUCCGAUGGCAGGAGCCAGGAGCCAGGUGCUUUUCCUGGUCUCCCAUGGGGUGCAGGGCCCAAGGACUUGGGCCAUCCUCCACUGCACUCCCUGGCCACAGCAGAGAGCUGGCCUGGAAGAGGGGCAACCGGGACAGAAUCCAGUGCCCCGACCGGGACUAGAACCCGGGGUGCCGGCGCCGCAAGGUGGAGGAUUAGCCUAGUGAGCUGCGGCGCCGGCUUAAAUUAUUUCUUUAUUUGGGAGGCAGAGAGACAGCUUUGAUCUGCUGUUUUACUUCCCGAAUGUCUGUCGAGACAGAGGUGGGGGUGGGAGGCAAAGAUGGCAAAUAUGGGAGUCAGGAACCCGAUUACUUGAUCCAUCACUGCUACCUCCCAGGGUCUGGGCCACAGGAAGCCAGGGGCAGGAGUGGGAGGCACGGUGACAUGGAUUGGGAGGCAUUCGGAUGUCUUGACCACCAGGUGAGACACCUGUUCCUCUUCGUUCUUUUGGAACCACCUUUUGCACACUCAGCCAUGACUCAGCAGUCCCGUCAUGACCACAAGUUCUCCUGGCUUCGCUUACAUAGCCUUUGCCUGCAAUGCUUUCUUCCAGACAAACUCCUUCUUAAUUUUACUGCCAUGAACCAAAGGAAACCUCCUCUGGGAAGCCCUCCCGGGGCCCCCAGGUGGAAUUAAUUGAUUGCUCUUUCCAUAGUGUUCACACAACUUUCCCAAAUCUUUAUUAAAGCACAUAGCAUGCUCUAUUGUAUUGCCCUGCGUGUGUUCGUGUGUGUGCGCGCACCACCCACCAUACUGCAGAGAGACCCCAGCUACUGUGUGUUCACCAGAACAUCAAGCAUAAUGCAGCCAAUGUUUAUUGAGUGAAUGAAUGAACGUAGUCUGAAUCAGUGGGUUUACAAACCUUUCCCCCGUGCCUUUAAUGAUUUUUAAGAAAAACUCUGCAUCUUUCCAUCCUCCAUGUCUGUGAGAAGCCCAAGAGGAAGCAAGUGGCACACUUGACGGAAGACAACUUAAGGAGAUUAUGUACAUAAGGGACUAAUUUCGUAUGUGGUCAGGAAGGCUGUAGGGAAAUCACAAAGAUCCUCCAGGAAGCUGGGACUAUCAGCAGCCAGGCUGCUACCACCCCAAGCCUCCAGGGACAAGCCCUCAGCCUUACGAGGGACAGGAAUUUGUUGUGAGCCUGACCAGAUCUCACAGGGCAGGAACCGGAGGACUAGAUGAUGACCUCACUCUCUUCACUCCCUUCCGCCUCCUGCCAGGAUCCCCAUCAGCUAAAUUCAUAUCCAAAAAUGGAGGGCACAGGAGACAUGGGUGGACCAGGGAUACAUGCACAUUUUUUCUAGAACAUUUGUAAGUUGACAACUGAAAUGUUUGUCUUGAUUCUAUCAUUGACAAGGGUAUACUUCUACCAUAUUAUAAAUAUUAAUAUUUUCAAUAAAACUAUGGGGCCACUCAACUGAAAGUAAGUACUAGAGUGAUUUGACAUACAUUAUAAUUCAUUUAAAGAAAAUACCAGGAGGCCGGCACUGUGGUGCAGCGAGUUAACACCCUGGCCUGAAGUGCUGGCAUCCCAUAUGGGCGCUGGUUCGAGACCCGGCUGCUCCACUUCUGAUCCAGCUCUCUGCUGUGGCCUGGGAUUGCAGUGGAAGAUGGCCCAAGUCCUUGGGCCCUGCACCCACGUGGGAGACCCAGGAGAAGCUCCUGGCUCCUGGCUUUGGAUCAGUGCAGCUCCGGCAGUUGCAGCCAACUGGGGAGUGAACCAUUGGAUGGAGGACCGCUCUCUCUCUCUCUCUCUCUCUGCCUCUCCUCUCUCUGUGUAACUCUUUCAAAUAAAUAAAUAAAUCUUAAAAAAAAAAUAAAGAAAAUACCAGAACAAACCCUACUGACUCUGGCAGAAAUGCUUAUGUGGGCAAGGAUGUAUUAAUUUUUUUCCAAAUUCUUGUUUCACACAAAGACAAGCAUUUUAAGUACAGACACAUAUAAGGGACACAGAGCAAUAAAGUUAAUUCAAAGGGGCCAGCGCUGUGAUGCAGUGGGUUAAGCCUCUGCCUGUGGCACCAGCAUCCCAUAUGGGCACCAGUUUGUGUCCUGGCUGCUCCACUUCCUAUCCAGAUCACUGUUAACAUGCCUGGGGAAGCAGCAGAAGAUGGCCUGUUUGGGCCCCUCACUCACCUGAGAGACCCAGAAGAAGCUCCUGGCUCCUGGCUUCAGAUCAGCCCAGCCUCAGCUGUUGUGGCCAUUUGGGGAGUGAACCAGCAGGUGGAAGACCUCUCUCUCUGUAACUGUGCCAGCUCUUCCACAUGGGGGCAGGGCCCCAAGCACUUGUGCCAUCCUCCACUGCUUUCCCAGGCACAUUAGCAAGGAGCUGGAUCAGAAGUGGAGCAACCAGGGCUUGAACUGGUGCCCAUAUGAGAUGCUGACAUCACAGGCGAUGACUUAACCCACUACACCACAAUGCUGCUCCCAGUGAUCCAUCUUCUGUAUCUGCUUCCUGUUGAUUAGGGUCACGGGCCCUGCACAUCCUGGAUACGUAUCUCAUGUAAUGGACACAUCCCCUAAGACAGAAGAUUUUCAACAGUUACCGACGAUGGUUGUGGUCCUUGCGUGGUCACCAUUCCUCCGAGAAGCUCUUGGACUCUGAAAGAAACAAACCUGUCAAUCAGAUGAGUAACUGGAAAAGGACAAAUCGUAGGCGGGAUCCCUCUUAGGAAAGGAAGAAUAUGUUCUUUUUUUAUUUUUAAGAUUUAUUUAUUUAUUUGAAAGGCAGAGUUACAGAGAGGCAGAGACAGAGAAAGAGAGAGGCCUUCUCUCCGCUGGUUCACGCCCCAAAUGGCCGCAACAGCUGGAGCUGCGCCUUUCCAAAGCCAGGUGUCAGGAGCUUCUUCUGGGUCUUCCACAUGGAUGCCGGGGCCCAAGGACCUGGGCCACCCUCUGCUGCUUUCCCAGGACAUAGCAGAGAGCUGGAUGGGAAGUGGAGCAGCCAGGACUCGAAUUCAUGCCCAUAUGGGUUGCUGGCACUGCAGGCGGCAGCUUUACCUGCCACGCCACAGCACUGGCCCCAAAAAUAUGUUGUUUUAUUUCCCGAACAGUGGGAGCUGAUAGACUUUCCCUGACUAGAUUAUAAAACCAUUUAGCCUAGAUAUAAAGCUUUGCAGUGUCUCUUUCAGUGAACAUACUGCUGUUAGGGGGGAUUUCAUUAAUUUCAUUAAUUACUGCACAUUCUCUACUUGUUCCACAAGUAGAGAAGUAGACCUCUCACAUGGGUGCAGGGGCCCAAGGACUUGGGCCAUCUUCUACUGCUUUCCCAGGCCAUAGCAGAGAGCUGGAUCAAAAGUGGAGCAGCCAAGACUUCAAUCGGCACCCUUAUGGGAUGCCAGCACUGCAGGUAGAGGCUUUACCUGCUACACCACAACACCGGCCCCAACUUGGGUUAUUUUAUAAACACAGGGGACAGGACCGAGUUACUUCCCUUAUGACAAUAUUUAGUCCUUUUCCUCCAAAUGCUGAAGCUCCUCUUUCCAUAUGGGUAGAGUCAGGUUUUUCCUUAAUAAUUUUCCCCCUUAGAGGCCAUUGGGAGCAUGACCCCAUGAUUUAAAAUCCACCACCCAUUGGCAUUUUUAGCAUAACCUCGUUACUGAGACCAUUUUGUCUUGGGCUCAGUAUAGUAAGGAUUUUUAGUAAUGUCUACAGGUCAAGGUAUCAAAAGCUAUUUCUAAAAUCCUCCCUGCAAUGGAUCCUUUUCGGCUAGUGCAUUUCCUUUGCUGACAUGGCUGUCUUCCUUCUGGUGAGCCCUGCAGUAUUCGACAGCCACUUCCAGAGGUUCCAGCACUGUCUGAAGAAGAUGUGCUAUCUCUCCCAUGUUUAGCAGGUGCGUUAUUUGCAGUCAGUAAGCCUCAUUCUCUCCAAACUGCUGCGUGUGCGUGUAACACAAGGGAAGCGUAUGUGGACUGUGUGUAAAUAGUAGCUCUUUGGCCUUUUCCUAGUCAAGGCAGUAAGCUGAGCCUUUUGAGCUGAGGUGUUGGAUGGCAAUGGCUGGACUUCUCCUGCCUGAGUGUGAUCCACUGUGGCAUAACCUGCCUUUCUAACUCUUUUCUCCAUAAACUAUUGCUAUCAGUAAACCAUUUGACGUCUGGAUCUUCCAGAGGCUCAUCUCAUAGCCAGUCCUGCUAUAAUACACCUGCCCUAUUGUAUCCACACAAUGGUGAGUUAACUCAUCAGUACCUUCAGAUGGCAAGGGAGUAGCUGGAUUGAGGACUUGGCAUGCCUUGAGAGUUACUUCAGGUGAGGCUAACAAAAGACGCUGAUAUUUUGUAAGUCAUUCUCCUGUUAGACUUUGAUACCCUUUAAUUUCCAGAACUCCUUGCACCUGGUGUGGAGUUUGAAUUUCAAGUGACUGGCUUAAAGCCAGCUUGGUGGUUUCCUCCACAAAAGCACUGUAGCAGUGACUGCCCUUAAGCAUACAGACUAUCCUGCAGCCACUAAGUCUUGUUGCUUAAAAAUGUGGGCCACUAGGAUCAGUGUUGUGAGUAAUGGGUGAAGCUGCUGCCCGCAGCACCAGCAUCCCAUAUGGGCGCCCGUUUGAGCCUUGGCUGCUCCACUUUCCAUCCAGCUUCCUGCUAAUGCUCCUGGGAAUGCAGCAGAAGAUGGCUCAAGUCCUGCAGCCCUUGAGUCCAUGUGGGAGACCCGGAUGAAGCUCUUGGCUCCUGGCUUUGGCCUGGCACAGCCCCAGAUGUUGCAGCCAUUUGGGGAGUGAACCAGCAUGUAGAAGACCUCUCUCUCUCUCUCUCUGUAUCUCCCUCUCUCUGUGUGUAACUCUGCCUUUCAAAUAAAUAAAAUAAAUCUUAAAAAAAAAAUAGAAAAGAAAAGCAGGCCACUGGUCAUGAAAGUGGACCCAAUUUCUUAGUACUACUCUCUGCUUCUCUGCUACAAACAGAGUGAGUGAACUGGUUGUUCAAGUUGAGAUUCCUAGUUCCAGAGCUUCUGUUAAUAGCUCUUUAAUCUUUUGCAAAGCUUCCUGAUGCUCUCCUGUCCAGCGAAGUGGGUCUGUGUUAGGACCCUUUAAAGCCUCAUGUAAGGUUUGCCUAUUAACCGCAAUCCUGGAAUCUUUAGUCUAUAAACCUUCCAUUCCCAGAAAUAUCCUUAGCUGUUUCUUUGUCCUGUGGAGCUCUGUACAUAAUAUAGCUUUCUUUCUCUUGAGUGACAGAGCAUGAUGUCCUAAGGUCAGAACACAUCCUAAAUAGUUUACCUCUUGUUUAGAAAUCUGGGGAAACUCUGUGUCCCUAAAAAGUUUAAGACCUGGCUGGUAUUUACAUUGGAGUCCUCCUUUUUUUUUUGGGGGGGGGGGGCUGCAAAUAAAAAUGCCAUCUACAUUUUACAGAAUUGCUCCAGUCUUUAAUUGGAGCUCUCUGAGUCCCUUUGCAAGAACAUUUCCAAACAUAUGAGGACGAUCUCUGGAGUCUUGAGGGAGAACUGCCCAAGUGUGCUGUGGAGUUACAGCUGAGGAUGGAUCAGUCCAUUCAGAGGCAAACAAGUGCUGGGAUUCUGGGUUUAACAGGAUGAAGAACAGAGCAUCUUUCAGGUCUUUUACUGUGUACCACGAGGUGCAUACAGGUAUCUGCGUUAAUAUGGUGUAAGGAUUUGGCACAAAAGGAUGAAGAGGAAUGAUUGCCUCAUUACUAAGUCCUGUGCUAUUCUAUAUUCCCCAUUCGGCUUUAAAACAGGCAAAACUGGAGUAUCACAGGGAGAAGGACAGGCAACCAGGACUCCGUGUUUGAGAAACUGAUCGGUCCAGGGUUGAAGUCCCCAUCAGCCUCUGGUUUUACGCAACAGUGGCACUGCUGAGGAAAUCUGGUAUGUCCUCUACGAGGACUGUGACACUGUGACAGCUCAGGCAUGUGUGGCCCAUCAUGGUAUCCCCCAUCCCAGAGCUGAGGAUCUACUCUAUCUUUUAUUCCAGUAGGAAAAUCAUCCAGGCUGGGGUCUGCCUCAGUGACUGUUAGCAUCACAGCAACAACUUCAAUGUAGGAGCAAUUAACAUGAGGGAAGAACCAGGGAUGAUAGCAAACCUCUUCCGAGCCAAGGAGUUGGGCAUUCAGACAUCACCAAAAGCAUCCUCUGUUUGAGCCACCAAAGGCAAAGUAAGCCUUUGAGAGUGAGGUUUGUCAUCGACUCCCAUAACACAGUUCUGGAAGAUGGGGUCAUCACAGAGUAAGCGGCUCCAGCAUGAAUCAGGAAACGAGCACACUUCGCGCCUGCAAUGUCAUAGUCACCUGGAACUCCGCACGUGAGAUGCUUGCUUCCUUAGGAGCCGCCUGAGUCCCCAGGCCCCUUUGGUCUUCAGACAGAUCCAUGAGUCCCUUCCUGUCUCCGGAGGAGGACACAGUCCCUCUUCCAGUGACCACUUUUCUUGCCUUGGGGGCACAGACCUGGGAUCCCUUGCAGAGGAACCCUCCUUAUGCCAUCGCCUGGCACAUCCUCCUGCGAUGGCGGAAUGCCCUGGACUGACUCUGAGGUUGCCAAGUGCUGAUUGCGGCCAUCGUUGUCCUGUAGGUCUGCUGCCUGGCCUGCCUCCCAUGCUGGAGCAAUGAGAGAGAGAAAGAGAGAGAGAGAGCUUCCAUCCGCUGGUUUACUCCCCAAAUAGCCACAAUGCCUGGAGCUGUGCCAAUCUGAAGCUAAGAGCCAGGAACCUCUUCCAGUCUCCCAGGUGGGUGCAGGCACACAAGCACUUGGGUCAUCUUCCCCUGCGUCCCCACAUUGGCAGUGCGCUAGAUAGGGAGUGGAGCAUCCAGGACUCAAACCAGCAGCUUCACCCACUACAUCACAGCACUGGCCCUGCAUGGCCAGCACUUGAGGCUUUCUUCUAACAUCUGGCACUGACUGAGGAAAUGAGUAUCACAUAGGACCUUCCUUCAGGAGAGUCAGGAUCUAUAUUUCAGAUCUCUUCAAUGCCUCUACCAGCCAUCCCUGGGACAAGACUGGGUUGUCAUCCUUCUGUGUUACCUCUCUGAUUUUAUAAUUUAUGGAUCUGAUAAUACAUUUCCUCAUCCCAGACAGAAGGUGUGAAGCCAUGCGGUCUCGAUGCUGUAAGUGCUCAUGUCCUUCCUGAUAAUUCCAAUCAGGGUCAGCUGCUGGGUCUGCUAAUGCCCCUGUAACUAGUACCCAGGCUGUUGAAUAACCAGAGAAUCCACAUGGGUUUGAGCCUUAGUGCAAACACAUUGUUUCUUUUCAGUGGUGCAACAAGUAGACAAAAAUAACAUGUAAGUUGGUUUGAGUUAAGACUAAAAGACUAAAGUGAAGGCCUAAAACUUCUCAGUGAAUCGAGUAGGGUCCUUUGAAAACCAUCCUAGCUUUUGCUUACAUUGGCUUAAGUCAAACUUGGUGAGAGGGACAAGCACUCUAACUGUCCCUACAUCUCCAUGUGCCACUUCUCUCAGAGAACAGAGCAUACCCACUUUGGGCUGAUGGGGACCUGCUGCAAGUAACUCUGGUUGGGCUGUUCUCUGGUAAGGAAGACAGGAAGGGUUGAAAGGUGGAGGUCGUGGGGUGAUAGAAGGUAAGGAAGAGUCAGGUUUUAGGGGUGCAGGGGAGGGCCUAGUGCCCUCUGAGGGUGGUCUUAGCAUGUAGACUUGCUCAGCCUGGAAUGGCUAAGGACCAGCUAGUAGUGGACCAGUCACUAUUAUCUAUCAAUUCUUCCCUUGUCUUUGAGAGAGCAGGUACAGAAUGUAGCCCGGUACUCCUUUCAUGAAUCAAGUGUGAUAUAAUGCCGUGAGUACACAAGAAACUUCUAGCCAUUUUUGCUGAUCCCUACAGAAGAGGCCAAGUCGUGAGAUGGUAUUAGAGUUCAGAGUCCCAUCUAUGAGCCAGGCCUCUUCAUUGCCCAGCUUGUAUUUUGGCCAGAUGGUAAUACAGGGGAAAAUUAAUUUUUUAUUUAGCUUAAGAGUCUCCCAGUUACUGAGCAUGCAUCCUAGGGGUGUAUCAGCGGGAAUGGAUGCGGGGUCGUCCACAGCUGAAAGUCUGGGAAGACAGAAGUUAGAAAGGGCUCAGGAUGAGCCCAGUUAGGCUUCAGCGUGUGACUCGAAUCCCUCGCAUGAGAGCUGGCAUCCAAGACCUCCUUGUGCAUCCCAAGCUGGGGUUCCCUGCUUCAGGGCUUCCUACAGGUUGACUGUAGAUCUAGGGUGUUCUCCCAAGCCUGAAACCACCGCCCAGCCCCCCAAAUACUUCGGUAGGCCUUUUUGCCACCACACAUAGGGUAUCUGGCCUCUAGCGGGCUCUAACGCUCCAAUAAACCAGAGAAGGCAUUUGACCCAGGCCCGAGAUGCAUUAUUCAGGGCCUUUACUUGAGCCUGAAAUAUUUUGUGGGGGAGCCAGAACUGCAGCUGCACCUGGGACUUGUAACCUCUCGGAGGCAUUGACAUCAGGGUGAGUCCAGCGUUGAGUUGAAAGAAAGAAAAAAAAAAAAAGCUGAAAAGCUGUAGCAUUUGCCAAUAAGGCAGUUACUGUGGGCCCAUGCCAUGAUGGGGGUAGGGAGGACUGUCCAUCUUCCACCAGCCAAAUGUAGAACCUCCACCAUACCUGGAGGUACCACCUCCUGAUGCCAGACAUGGUAACCAAGCAACAGAAUCAAUUUUUUCCUCCUCCCCCUACCAUCAGGCAAAGGAGUGGAGUUAACAAGCCGUGCACCAAUUUAGAAAAAUAGAGACCUGAGUUAGAACCUGAAAUGAAAUCUGGGUCUGGCACCUGGAGAUUGUCCAUGGUGGCUCCAUGCUAAGAGCUGACCUAUCCUGCAGUGGACACUAACUUCAGAAGCACAGUGUGGGGGCCGGUACUGUGACGUAGCAGGUAAAGCCACCGCCUGCAGUGCCGGCCCCCAUAUGGGAUGAGUUCCGGCUGCUCCACUUCCCAUCCAGCUCUCUGCUAUGGCCUGCAGAAGCAGAACAAGAUGGCCCAGAUGCUUGGGUUUCUGUACUCAUGAGAGAGACCCAGAGGAAGCUCCUGGCUGCUGACUUCAGUUUGGCCCAGCUCCAGCUGUAGAGGCCAUUUGGGGAGUGGACCAGAGGAUGGAAGACCUCUCUCUCUCUCUCUCUCUCUCUCUCUCAUCCUUUCUGUGACUCUGCCUUUCAAACGCAGCCAACCUGUGGGCACUUGUAUCAGUGGGUGGUCGCGAGCCCUGCGUGCUCUCUCCUAUAUGUCUGGAUUCCCUCAGUGUUAAGUCUGUAGCUGCUGCUCUGCAGCCAAUAGCAUUAAAAACAAAAGCACCAAGAUUUGCACUUUCAAAAGUUUGCCCCAGGCCGGCGCUGCGGGUCACUAGGCUAAUCCUCCGCCUUGCGGCGCCGGCACACCAGGUUCUAGUCCCGGUCGGGGCGCCGGAUUCUGUCCCGGUUGCCCCUCUUCCAGGCCAGCUCUCUGCUGUGGCCCGGGAGUGCAGUGGAGGAUGGCCCGAGUACUUGGGCCCUGCACCCCAUGGGAGAACAGGAUAAGUACCUGGCUCCUGCCAUCAGAUCUGCGCGGUGCACUGGCUGCAGCGUGCCAGCCGUGGUGGCCAUUGGAGGGUGAACCAAUGGCAAAGGAAGACCUUUCUCUCUGUCUCUCUCUCUCACUGUCCACUCUGCCUGUCAAAAAAAAAAAAAGAGUAAGCUAGAGACCAGCGCCGCAGCUCACUAGGCUAAUCCUCCACCUGUGGCGCCAGCACACUGGGUUCUAGUCCCGGUUGGGGCGCUGGAUUCUGUCCCAGUUGCCCCUCUUCCAGGCUAGCUCUCUGCUGUGGCCCAGGAGUGCAGUGGAGGAUGGCCCAAGUGCUUGGGCCCUGCACCUGCAUAGGAGACCAGGAGAAGCACCUGGCUCCUGGCUUUGGAUCAGCGCAGUGCGCUGGCCGCAGCGGCCAUUGGAGGGUGAACCAAUGGAAAAAGGAAGACCUUUCUCUCUGUCUCUCUCUGUCUCACUGUCUAACUCUGCCUGUCAAAAAAAAAAAAAAAAAAAAAAAAAAAAGAAGAAGGCUAUAUUCAGUAUCAGUGUUAUAGAUAGCAUCACUAAGAAACAUGUUUACAUACAGAAGGAGAUGAGAAUGGAUAGAAUUUUGUUAGAGUAAUGGCAAUUAUUUUAAUUCCUUAUGUAAUUGAGCCCCAUCCCUGUAGCCUUUGAUGUAGAUUUUAUCUGGCUCCUUCAUCUCCUUAGCUUGCAAUUCCUCUAAAGAUGAACUUAUUAAGUUAAGGGAGUGACACAGCCUCCCUUAUGGUUAACAUAGUUAAAAGUUCAAUGCUGGCCUCUAUCCUGAGACCUUUUACAAGAACUCACCAGCAGGUACCAGACUGUAGGACUUGACUUUCAUUUAUUAACUCUAUGGCUGGUAUUACCUCUAUGGCUGGUAUUGGGAUGCUGACCCCUAGCACUGACCAAAGGAAGACCACACACACUGUGGACCAAGCAGGGCCCACACAAGAGCUGAUCACUCACUGCUCAGCCCCAACUUUGAACUAUAAGACGCAGCGCCUCCACUCCCUCAGGGAAUUGGGCAUUAACUGUUCCUUGUUCUGUGCUGUGCCCGCUUUUACUCAUCGCUCUGCUAUCAGUGAUAGAUUUGCUGCACUCCAGUUUGGGGUUCUAUAGCAACUCCUUGUAUUUCCAGAGACGGCUGCUCGGAGGUUCUUGUCUUCAUGCAAGAAAGAGUUCAGACGUGAGACAGCAGGAACAGGAAGUUCUGUUCAGCCACCUCUGGUACCGAUUCCAGUGUCCUGCUGAGGAGCACCCUGGGAGGCAGCAGGUGCUGUAAACAUUUGGGGAGUGAACCAAUGGAUGGAGACACUUCUAUGUCUCUCUCUCUCCCUCUCUCUCUGCGUGUGUGUAUAUGUAUGUGUGUGUGUGUGUGUUUCUGUCAAAAGAAGAGAAAUAAAUUCUAAAAAUUAAGAAUAAUAUUUGUGCUGGAUACCCCAUGGAAAAUCUUCAUGAACCCUGGCCUGAAAGGGGGGUUAUCUGUGGAAGGUGGCCCCAGGACAUUAGGAGAGGUCCCUAAACUAAAGAUAGUAUCUGCUCCCCAGCUCCGCCCAGAUAUGCAAAUCACCCGCUUGGAAAAAGCUGUUGGGCCACAGGAAACUCACCCUAACUGUAAAGCACUGACAUUACAAGUAUGCCUCUUGGAUUGUUGUCCAUAUCGCCCCACUGCUCCACUGCAAGUAUGUUGUGCCAGUCACCCUAAAGAGAAACUACCGCUACAGGUAGAUCCCUCAGCUUACAGUCUGUCCCAUAACAGCGGCCAGUUCUUAUGUUCUAUUGAUUUUCUGUGUUCAACAAGUUUAGGGUUACUCUCUAGCUUCCUUGGUGAAUUAUUUCACCACCUGCAACACCAGCUCCAAUUAGUGACAAGGUAAUAUAUACACAGCAACUUUCACAGUGAGAGAAAGAGUCUGGAGUCUGAGAAACUCCCACUGCCCACCAUCUAGGGCCACCUCAGGGACCCUCUGGGCAGGUACUGGUCACUUGCCCUUAGAUAGCUGCCUCUUCCAUGCGGCCCAGUGCUCGGCCUGGUACCUGGAGGUCGGUAGUGCUUAGGAAAUGGUUGACUCAUUGGCUACAGGAGUGAGUGAACAGCAUUUGAAGGCCAGUUAGUACUUGACCUAGGAAAUGGGAGAAGGAGAGAAUGAAUAUUCCUGAGAGUUAAAAAUAAAAUUUGAAAUUUUAAAGGGGCCGGCUCUGUGGCAUAGCAGGUAAAGCUGUAGCCUGCAGUGUUAGCAUCCCAUAUGGGCUCCGGUUCAAGUCCUGGCUGCUCCGCUUCUGACCCAGCUCUCUGCUAUGACCUGAGAGGGCAGAAGAAGAUGGCCCAAGUGCUUGGGCCCCUGAACCCACAUGGGAAGGCUUGGAGGAAGCUCCUGGCUCCUGGCUUCAAAUCGGCACAGCUCCAGUCAUUGUAGCCAUCUGGAGAGUGAACCAGCAGAUGGAAGAUCUCUCUCUCUGUCUCUCUGUCUCUCUCUGUCUCUCUCUCUCUCUACCUCUCUCUCUCUGUGUAAC